AUUUAAAUGGUGUAAUAAACACUUAACUUUUUCAUUGUUAAAUUCCUUUAGGUUUAAAUU
rnacentral:tRNA from 1 species